GUUCGAUUAUGGCUCAGAUUGAACGCUGGCGGGAUGCUUUACAUGCAAGUCGAACGGCAGCACGGACUUCAGUCUGGUGGCGAGUGGCGAACGGUGAGUAAUGUAUCGGAACGUGCCUAGUAGCGGGGGAUAACUGCGCGGCGUAGCUAAUACCAUGCGCCCUUCCCUUCCCGAGGGAAAGCGGGGACCUUCGGGCCUCGCACUAUUAGAGCGGCCGAUAUCGGAUUAGCCUAGUUGGUGGGGUAACGGCUCACCAGCGAUCCGUAGCUGGUUUGAGAGGACGACCAGCCACACUGGGACUGGAGACCACGGCCCAGACUCCUACGGGAGGCAGCAGUGGGGAAUUUUGGACAGUGGGGAAACCUGAUCCAACCAUCCCGCGUGUGCGAUGAAGGCCUUCGGGUUGUAAAGCACUUUUGGCAGGAAAGAAACGGCACGGGAUAAUGCGUGCAACUGACGGUACCUGCAGGGCAGCACCGGCUAACUACGUGCCAGCAGCCGCAGAACAAGCCCGUAGGGUGCAAGCGUUAAUCGGAAUUACUGGGCGUAAAGCGUGUGCGAAGGCGGUUCGGAAAGAAAGAUGUGAAAUCCCAGAGCUUUAACUUUGGAACUGCAUUUUUAACUACCGAGCUAGAGUGUGUCAGAGGGAGGUGGAAUUCCCGCGUGUAGCAGUGAAAUGCGUAGAUAUGCGGAGGAACACCGAUGGCGAAGGCAGCCUCCUGGGAUAACACUGACGCUCUGCACAGCGUGGGGAGCAAACGGGAUUAGAUACCCUGGCAGUCCACUUCAAGCGAUGUCAACUAGCUGUUGGGGCCUUCAGGCCUUGGUAGCGCAACUAACGCGUGAAGUUGACCCGCCUGGGAAACACGGUCGCAAGAUUAAAACUCGAAGGAAUUGACGGGGACCCGCACAAGCGGUGGAUGAUGUGGAUUAAUUCGAUGCAACGCGAAAAACCUUACCUACCCUUGACAUGUCUGAGUCCGAAGAGAUUUGGGAGUGCUCGCAAGAGAACCGGAACACAGGUGCUGCAAGGCUGUCGUCAGCUCGUGUCGUGAGAUGUUGGGUUAGUCACACAACGAGCGCAACCCUUGUCAUUAGUUGCUACGAAAGGGCACUCUAAUGAGACUGCCGGUG
rnacentral:misc_RNA from 1 species